rnacentral:tRNA from 2 species
GGGUCGUUGCGAUUACGGGUUGGCUGUCUAAUUGGCGGAUGUCAGCGGUUCGAGUCCGCUUAUCUCCA